ACAGCAGUCGCCGCGGGAAUACGUAGGUGGCAAGCGUUGUCCGGAAUUAUUGGGCGUAAAGGGCUCGCAGGCGGUUUCUUAAGUCUGAUGUGAAAGCCCCGGCUCAACCGGGGAGGGUCAUUGGAAACUGGGAAACUUGAGUGCAGAAGAGGAGAGUGGAAUUCCACGUGUAGCGGUGAAAUGCGUAGAUAUAUGGAGGAACACCGGUGGCGAAAGCGGCUCUCUGGCUUGUAACUGACGCUGAGGCUCGAAAGCGUGGGGAGCAAACAGGAUUAGAUACCCGCGUAGUCCCUGUCUCUUAUACA
rnacentral:rRNA from 1 species